rnacentral:rRNA from 1 species
GAGUUUGAUCCUGGCUCAGGAUGAACGCUGGCGGCGUGCUUAACACAUGCAAGUCGAACGGGCGAAUUAUAUCGGAGGUCUUCGGGCCGAAGAGAUAAUAAGCUAGUGGCGGACGGGUGCGUAACGUGUGGGUAAUCUGCCUUUGUCAUAGGAAUAACUGCUUGAAAAAGUAGCUAAUACCAAAUAACAUAUCGUAUAGGCAUCUAUAAGAUAUCAAAGAGAAAUCGGACAAAGAUGAGCCCGCAUCUGAUUAGCUAGUUGGUAGGGUAAAAGCCUACCAAGGCGACGAUCAGUAGCCGGCCUGAGAGGGUGAACGGCCACAUUGGAACUGAGACACGGUCCAAACUCCUACGGGAGGCAGCAGUGGGGAAUAUUGCACAAUGGGGGGAACCCUGAUGCAGCAACGCCGCGUGAGUGAAGAAGGCUUUCGAGUCGUAAAACUCUGUUGUAAGGGAAGAUAAUGACGUACCUAAAAGAAGCCCCG